CCUACGGGGGGCUGCAGUGGGGAAUAUUGGACAAUGGGGGGAACCCUGAUCCAGCCAUGCCGCGUGUGUGAAGAAGGCCUUUUGGUUGUAAAGCACUUUAAGCGAGGAGGAGGAGCUCUAGGUUAAUACCUUAGAAGCUUGGACGUUACUCGCAGAAUAAGCACCGGCUAACUCUGUGCCAGCAGCCGCGGUAAUACAGAGGGUGCGAGCGUUAAUCGGAUUUACUGGGCGUAAAGCGUACGUAGGCGGCUUUUUAAGUCGGAUGUGAAAUCCCU
rnacentral:rRNA from 1 species